GUGUCAGCCGCCGCGGUAAUACGUAGGGUGCGAGCGUUAAUCGGAAUUACUGGGCGUAAAGCGUGCGCAGGCGGUUCGCUAAGACAGGUGUGAAAUCCCCGGGCUUAACCUGGGAAUGGCGCUUGUGACUGGCGGGCUGGAGUACGGCAGAGGGAGGUGGAAUUCCACGUGUAGCAGUGAAAUGCGUAGAGAUGUGGAGGAACACCGAUGGCGAAGGCAGCCUCCUGGGCCAGUACUGACGCUCAUGCACGAAAGCGUGGGGAGCAAACAGGAUUAGAUACCCCCGUAGUCC
rnacentral:rRNA from 1 species